rnacentral:rRNA from 1 species
UACGUAGGGCGCAAGCGUUGUCCGGAAUUAUUGGGCGUAAAGAGCUCGUAGGCGGUUUGUCACGUCGGCUGUGAAAACCCGAGGCUCAACCUCGGGCCUGCAGUCGAUACGGGCAGACUAGAGUGCUGUAGGGGAGACUGGAAUUCCUGGUGUAGCGGUGAAAUGCGCAGAUAUCAGGAGGAACACCGGUGGCGAAGGCGGGUCUCUGGGCAGUAACUGACGCUGAGGAGCGAAAGCAUGGGUAGCGAACAGG